UACGUAGGGUGCAAGCAUUGUCCGGAAUUAUUGGGCGUAAAGAGCUUGUAGGCGGUUUGUCGCGUCUGCUGUGAAAUUUCGGGGCUCAACCCCGAACUUGCAGUGGGUACGGGCAGACUAGAGUGUGGUAGGGGAGACUGGAAUUCCUGGUGUAGCGGUGAAAUGCGCAGAUAUCAGGAGGAACACCGAUGGCGAAGGCAGGUCUCUGGGCCAUAACUGACGCUGAGGAGCGAAAGCGUGGGGAGCAAACAGG
rnacentral:rRNA from 1 species